rnacentral:rRNA from 1 species
GUCCUAGCCGUAAACGAUGGGUACUUGGCAGCGGGAGAACCUAUGUCUUUCUCUGCCGGAGCUAAUGUGUUAAGUACCCCGCAUGGGGAGUACGCUCGCAAGGGUAAAACUCAAAGGAAUUGACGGGGGCUCACACAAGCGGUGGAGCAUGUGGUUUAAUUCGAAGCAACGCGAAGAACCUUACCUGGCCUUGACAUGCAUGGAUUAUCCCUAUGAAAGUAGGGUGACAGCUCUUCGGAGUCGGAACAUGCACAGGUGUUGCAUGGCUGUCGU